GCCUGGGUAGCUCAGUUGGUAGAGCGCUUGGCUGUUAACCAAGAUGUCGAAGGUUCAAGUCCUUCCCCAGGCGC
rnacentral:tRNA from 1 species